GACAGAGGUGCCGAGCGUUAGGCGGAAUCACUGGGCUUAAAGCGUGUGUAGGCGGGCGGGCAAGUACCUUGUGAAAUCCCACGGCUCAACCGUGGAACGGCUGGGUAUACUGCCUGUCUUGAGCCAGCUAGGGGCGACCGGAACAGACGGUGGAGCGGUGAAAUGCGUAGAUAUCGUCUGGAACGCCAAAGGUGAAAACAGGUCGCUGGGGCUGAGCUGACGCUGAGACACGAAAGCCAGGGGAGCGAACGGG
rnacentral:rRNA from 1 species